rnacentral:lncRNA from 1 species
CCCAGCGCCGCUCGGGCGCGCCAAUUUAGGGAAAAGGCUCCGCCCAUGCCCCGCCCCCUGAGACCUGGCGCCGGGCGCUUUGAGGCCCGGCUUACUCCCUUGCUGGUUAUGCAAAGUGUAGUCCCUGAACCAGCAGCCUCAGCAUCCUGAGGGAAUUUGUUAAAAACGCGAAAUCUCAAGCCCUACCCAGACUUACUGAAUCAGUGUCUGCAUUGCAACAAGAUCCCCUGGUAAUUCCUAUGCACAUCAAAAUUUGGAAGGCACAGCUCUCAACUGAUGUCCUGGGUCUCCUUCACAUCCAUCCUGGGAAGGUCUUAUUCCUCAUUCCUGAGCUCAUCCCACUGAAGAGCUAUGGCACUUCCAAUUCCUGAGCCUUUGUGAGGUUCUGCGUGUCAGUAAGCUUGCUUCCGGGCAUCACCUCCGAAAACACUUGGGUUUCAGUUUUCUCUGUGAGGCUUCUUAAGGAGUGGAGGAAAGUGGAUGUUUUCAAGAUAACGCAGCUAACAUUCAAAGAGGUUAAGUGAAUUGUCCAAAGUCACACAGCAAGCACUGGAGGUAAGAUUCAAACCUGAAUAGUCUAUCAUUUCAGAGUACUUUCAACACUAUGCAAUACUAUCUCUCUAGCAAUCAGCCAGAUUGAAUAAGAUCUGUAGUUCACAGAGCCACUUGCAUUUUUAAUCCUAGUUUAAUUAACUUAGGAAAUUUGUAUCUAAAGGAUGCAUCUUUUUUUUUUUUUUUUUCAAUAGAGGCAGUGUCUCACCAUGUUGCCCAGACUGGCCUCAAACUUCUGGGCUCAAACCAUCCUCCCAUCUCAGCCUUCCAAAUGCUGAGAUUACAGGCGUGAGCCACCACGUCCCACCGGGAUACAUAGGUUUUACGGUAUCCUCUGAACCUCCCUUUAAUCAAGAGAGUGGACAAAACUGUGGGUCCCUCAUUUUCAAAAUGGCCAGUAAAAGAGGAAAUAAGGAUAUGCAAUGUUUAGUUAUUUUCUGCUGCCCUCUUUAAGUUGAUUGGGGAUCUCUUUGUCACUACUUUGGGAAGAUAACUUACCUUCUUAUCCACUAUGGCUAAUUGGAGCUUUUCUCAUGUCUUUAUGGUUGCUGGGAAAUUUUCAAAUAAAAUUCACUGGGAAUGGUUUGAAAUUGCAGAAUUUUUAGCCUCCCGAUGUUUUAUUUUCCUCUAGUGAGUUGGACAUAAAUAAUAUCCUCUUUUGAGAUUUGUAUCUUUGAAAGACAUUUUUUUUUAAGUUUCUCAGUGAAACAAAGAAAAAAUUAGA